AUUAAUUUUGGCAUUUUCAUAUUUAUGCACUAGGUGAUGGGACUUUUUAAAGAUUUGAAUUCUUUAGGACAUUAACUAAAAAGUGCACUAAGGGACAGUGAUUUCAGUACAGAAAAGUUAGUACUUGGGAAAUUAAGAGAUAAGACAAGUGCAACUAAAUCAUUGGUUGUUUUUUGAAAGCAGUUUUAUGUAUAAAUAACAAAUGUUUAUAUUUAACUAAAUGUAAGGUACGAACUAUGACAUAUUAAACUUUUCUUGCCCUUCCUAGUUCUGAGGUAGAUGUGCACAUAUCUGCCACCACAUUCCAUAUGUGUUGAGUAGUUAACUCAUCUAGUUAAUAACGUUUGUGUCCAUGUGAGAGAUUCGGUGAGUUCAUCCUCAGCUCUCUUGGGCUGCAGUUUAUAUUGAGUCAUAUCUGUACAUUCUGGAGAUCUAAAAUCUUUAAAAUACUCUAAUAGCCUUGAGUGACCAACCUUUUUUUUUAAAGCACAGAUGUAAUUGUCUAAUGUUCUGAUGGAAAUGUAACACUUAUUUUUAUAUAAAGAGAUUGAGUAAACAGAAGAAAUUGAGGGUUCCUUUAGUUGUUUUGUUUCUGUGGUAUUCAGCCAGCAAGUUGUUUUCUUUCAGAGUUUCCUCCUUCAGAGAACUUAACUGCAUUUAUAAACGUUUUACAAGGCAGAAGCAUUAACUGGAUAGUUAGUGUGAAACAGUUUCCGCUUGAGAUCUCCAUUUCUCACUCUGCUGAGCCAGAACUCGCACAGCUGUUUCACUGAUUUUCUGUGCUUAUUACUCACAUAACAAUGGUAAUUAAUACCUUUCAGUUGCAUUUUAUUAUAUUUCAGGAGCAAAGUUACUUUGCAGUAACACAUAUGCAGAAUUCUCCCAGGAAAGUAUUCAAUCCACCAUUGUGAAUGGAAAUCUUAUACACCACAUUCCUGUCGCAGAGCAUUUGUAUUAUGGGAUGUUUGAUUUACAAAGUAGUGUGAUAUGCUCCAGCAAACAGGUUAAAAAUACUUUGAGGUCAAAUUGUCUUGGUUUUGUUUUUUUAAAGUGUUACUAUUAAAACUCUUGUGAGGGAUUGUUGCAAAAUACUCCCUCAGGAAAGAAAGCAGUGUGCCUUUUUUGCCUUUUUUUUUUAAUGGAUUAAAGUUUCUGAAGUGAUAAAAAUGAAAAUCACACUACCAUUUGAAGUCCAUUCUCCAGGUUUUCAGUGUCAUUUCUGUGCAGUCAGUUUUAUGUGUCACACUUCGGCUUGUGUUGGCUUUCUUCUUUUGCCCCAGAUUAAACUGAACAAUGUAUAUAUAUAUAACACUAUCUGUCUGUAAAAUACUUUUUUUAAGAAAGCAUUUAUAUUUAUAUGACAGCUUGAACUGACAACAUUAUGUAUAUAGAUCAUCUUGAAGUAUUAUUUCACAU
rnacentral:lncRNA from 1 species